UGCAGUCGAGCGAACAGAUAAGGAGCUUGCUCCUUUGACGUUAGCGGCGGACGGGUGAGUAACACGUGGGUAACCUACCUAUAAGACUGGGAUAACUUCGGGAAACCGGAGCUAAUACCGGAUAAUAUUUCGAACCGCAUGGUUCGAUAGUGAAAGAUGGUUUUGCUAUCACUUAUAGAUGGACCCGCGCCGUAUUAGCUAGUUGGUAAGGUAACGGCUUACCAAGGCGACGAUACGUAGCCGACCUGAGAGGGUGAUCGGCCACACUGGAACUGAGACACGGUCCAGACUCCUACGGGAGGCAGCAGUAGGGAAUCUUCCGCAAUGGGCGAAAGCCUGACGGAGCAACGCCGCGUGAGUGAUGAAGGUCUUCGGAUCGUAAAACUCUGUUAUUAGGGAAGAACAUACGUGUAAGUAACUGUGCACGUCUUGACGGUACCUAAUCAGAAAGCCACGGCUAACUACGUGCCAGCAGCCGCGGUAAUACGUAGGUGGCAAGCGUUAUCCGGAAUUAUUGGGCGUAAAGCGCGCGUAGGCGGUUUUUUAAGUCUGAUGUGAAAGCCCACGGCUCAACCGUGGAGGGUCAUUGGAAACUGGAAAACUUGAGUGCAGAAGAGGAAAGUGGAAUUCCAUGUGUAGCGGUGAAAUGCGCAGAGAUAUGGAGGAACACCAGUGGCGAAGGCGACUUUCUGGUCUGUAACUGACGCUGAUGUGCGAAAGCGUGGGGAUCAAACAGGAUUAGAUACCCUGGUAGUCCACGCCGUAAACGAUGAGUGCUAAGUGUUAGGGGGUUUCCGCCCCUUAGUGCUGCAGCUAACGCAUUAAGCACUCCGCCUGGGGAGUACGACCGCAAGGUUGAAACUCAAAGGAAUUGACGGGGACCCGCACAAGCGGUGGAGCAUGUGGUUUAAUUC
rnacentral:rRNA from 1 species